CUUGUAGGCGGUUUGUCGCGUCUGCUGUGAAAAUCCGGGGCUCAACCCCGGACUUGCAGUGGGUGCGGGCAGGCUAGAGUGUGGUAGGGGAGACUGGAAUUCCUGGUGUAGCGGUGGAAUGCGCAGAUAUCAGGAGGAACACCGAUGGCGAAGGCAGGUCUCUGGGCCAUUACUGACGCUGAGGAGCGAAAGCAUGGGAAGCGAACA
rnacentral:rRNA from 1 species